UACGUAGGGACCAAGCGUUGUUCGGAUUUACUGGGCGUAAAGGGCGCGUAGGCGGCGUGACAAGUCACUUGUGAAAUCUCCGGGCUUAACUCGGAACGGUCAAGUGAUACUGUUGUGCUAGAGUACAGAAGGGGCAAUCGGAAUUCUUGGUGUAGCGGUGAAAUGCGUAGAUAUCAGGAGGAACACCUGAGGUGAAGACGGGUUGCUGGGCUGACACUGACGCUGAGGCGCGAAAGCCAGGGGAGCAAACGGG
rnacentral:rRNA from 1 species